UACGGAGGGUGCAAGCGUUAUCCGGAUUUACUGGGCGUAAAGGGCUCGUAGGCGGCCAACUAAGUCCGACGUGAAAUCCCCAGGCUUAACCUGGGAACUGCGUCGGAUACUGGAUGGCUUGAAUUCGGGAGAGGGAUGCAGAAUUCCAGGUGUAGCGGUGAAAUGCGCAGAUAUCAGGAGGAGCACCGGUGGCGAAGGCGGGUCUCUGGGCCGAUACUGACGCUGAGGAGCGAAAGCGUGGGGAGCGAACAGG
rnacentral:rRNA from 1 species